GGUUCGAUGGUGUAGUUGGUUAUCACGUCUGUCUCACAAACCUUGUGGGUCAAGGUUGUGUACACAGGAGGUCUCCGGUUCGAGCCCGGGUCGAACCA